rnacentral:piRNA from 1 species
UGACCCCUUUAGUCGGAAAUAUGCUAGUAGU